rnacentral:rRNA from 1 species
GAUGAACGCUGACAGAAUGCUUAACACAUGCAAGUCUUUGGCGAAGCUGUGCUUGCACAGCCUAGCCAGGGCGGACGGGUGAGUAGCGCGUAAGGAACUUGCCCUGCAGUCAGGGAUCACAGACGUAAACGACUGAAAAGACCUGGUAAAGUCAGGCGUGCUCAUGUCCAGCCUGAUGAAGAGAGGUGCUGCAGGAGAGCCUUGCGUCCUAUUAGCUUGUUGGUGGGGUAACGGCCCACCAAGGCGAUGAUAGGUAGCCGGCCUGAGAGGGUGGACGGCCACAAGGGGACUGAGAUACGGGCCGUACUCCUACGGGAGGCAGCAGUGGGGAAUAUUGGACAAUGGGGGCAACCCUGAUCCAGGAAUGCUGUGUGCACGAUGAAGGUUUUCGGAUUGUAAAGUGCUUUCAGCAGGGAAGAAAAAAUGACGGUACCUGAAGAAGAAGCGACGGCUAAAUACGUG